AUUGAACGCUGGCGGCAGGCCUAACACAUGCAAGUCGAACGGUAACAGGAAGAAGCUUGCUUCUUUGCUGACGAGUGGCGGGCGGGUGAGUAAUGUCUGGGAAACUGCCUGAUGGAGGGGGAUAACUACUGGAAACGGUAGCUAAUACCGCAUAACGUCGCAAGACCAAAGAGGGGGACCUUCGGGCCUCUUGCCAUCGGAUGUGCCCAGAUGGGAUUAGCUAGUAGGUGGGGUAACGGCUCACCUAGGCGACGAUCCCUAGCUGGUCUGAGAGGAUGACCAGCCACACUGGAACUGAGACACGGUCCAGACUCCUACGGGAGGCAGCAGUGGGGAAUAUUGCACAAUGGGCGCAAGCCUGAUGCAGCCAUGCCGCGUGUGUGAAGAAGGCCUUCGGGUUGUAAAGUACUUUCAGCGGGGAGGAAGGGAGUAAAGUUAAUACCUUUGCUCAUUGACGUUACCCGCAGAAGAAGCACCGGCUAACUCCGUG
rnacentral:rRNA from 1 species